rnacentral:lncRNA from 10 species
CAAACUUAUACUGGGAUGCAGCCAAUAGAAGGAACAUUGUGACAUCGUUGGACAUAGCAUCUAGGAAAUGUGACUCUUCUCUCCUGCCUAGGUCCUGCCCACUAAAGGAAUUGUGACAUACCACUGAGUGCAAAACCUAGCCCUGUCUACAGUGGACAUGGUACCACAUGACUUGAGGCUGUAUCCAGGUGAUGUGACUCUUCUGACUUGGCCCUGCCUGCAAAGGAAAUUAUAAUAUAUCCUGAGCUCAGAAUCCAGGCGAUGAGACUCUCCUGCCUCUUUUCUGCCCACAAGUGAAAUUGUGACUUAUACCUGCG